GAUGAAGAACGUAGUGAAAUGCGAUAAGUAAUGUGAAUUGCAGAAUUCAGUGAAUCAUCGAAUCUUUGAACGCACAUUGCGCCCGCCAGUAUUCUGGCGGGCAUGCCUGUUCGAGCGUCAUUACAACCCUCAGGCCCCCGGGCCUGGCGUUGGGGAUCGGCGGAAGCCCCCUGCGGGCACAACGCCGUCCCCCAAAUACAGUGGCGGUCCCGCCGCAGCUUCCAUUGCGUAGUAGCUAACACCUCGCAACUGGAGAGCGGCGCGGCCACGCCGUAAAACACCCAACUUCUGAAUGUUGACCUCGAAUCAGGUAGGAAUACCCGCUGAACUUAAGCAUACAAUAAGCGGAGGA
rnacentral:misc_RNA from 1 species